AUUGAACGCUGGCGGCAGGCCUAACACAUGCGAGUCGAGCGGAUGAAGGGAGCUUGCUCCUGGCUUCAGCGGCGGACGGGUGAGUAAUGCCUAGGAAUCUGCCUGGUAGUGGGGGAUAACGUCCGGAAACGGGCGCUAAUACUGCAUACGUCCUGAGGGAGAAAGUGGGGGAUCUUCGGACCUCACGCUAUUAGAUGAGCCUAGGGCGGAUUAGCUAGGUGGUGGGGCAACGGCCUACCAAGGCGACGAGCCGAAACUGAUCUGAGAGGAGGAUCGGCAACACUGGAACUGAGACACGGUCCAGAGGCAUACGGGAGGAAGCAGGAGGGAAGUUUCAGAAAUGGGCGAAAGAUUGACGGAGCAAAGUGGCGUGAGGGAUGAAGGUAUUUGGAUAGUAAAAUUUUGUUAUUAGGGAAGAAGAAAUGUGUAAGGAACUCUGCACGUCGUGACGGUACAGAAUCAGAAAGCAACGGCUAACUACGUG
rnacentral:rRNA from 1 species